rnacentral:rRNA from 1 species
CAGUCGCCGCGGUAAUACGGAGGGAGCUAGCGUUGUUCGGAAUUACUGGGCGUAAGGCGCACGUAGGCGGUUAUUCAAGUCAGAGGUGAAAGCCCGGGGCUCAACCCCGGAACUGCCUUUGAAACUAGAUGACUAGAAUCUUGGAGAGGUCAGUGGAAUUCCGAGUGUAGAGGUGAAAUUCGUAGAUAUUCGGAAGAACACCAGUGGCGAAGGCGACUGACUGGACAAGUAUUGACGCUGAGGUGCGAAAGCGUGGGGAGCAAACAGGAUUAGAUACCCCGGUAGUCCCUGUCUCUUAUAC